CCGAGGAGGGGUCCCUCUGGGGGCCCGAUCUUCCCACCCAUGUUGACCGUACCAUGUUGCUUCGGCGGGGACGCCCGUCGAGGGGGCCUCUAUUUUAACCGCUAUGCUGCCUGAGUGUCGUCUGAGUCGGGUUUAAUUAUAGAUAUUAGUGA
rnacentral:misc_RNA from 1 species